GAUGAACGCUGGCGGCGUGCCUAAUACAUGCCAGUCGAGCGAACAGACGAGGAGCUUGCUCCUCUGACGUUAGCGGCGGACGGGUGAGUAACACGUGGAUAACCUACCUAUAAGACUGGGAUAACUUCGUGAAACCGGAGCUAAUACCGGAUAAUAUAUUGAACCGCAUGGUUCAAUAGUGAAAGACGGUUUUGCUGUCACUUAUAGAUGGAUCCGCGCCGCAUUAGCUAGUUGGUAAGGUAACGGCUUACCAAGGCAACGAUGCGUAGCCGACCUGAGAGGGUGAUCGGCCACACUGGAACUGAGACACGGUCCAGACUCCUACGGGAGGCAGCAGUAGGGAAUCUUCCGCAAUGGGCGAAAGCCUGACGGAGCAACGCCGCGUGAGUGAUGAAGGUCUUCGGAUCGUAAAACUCUGUUAUUAGGGAAGAACAAAUGUGUAAGUAACUAUGAACGUCUUGACGGUACCUAAUCAGAAAGCAACGGCUAACUACGUG
rnacentral:rRNA from 1 species